AAAGACAAAUUACCUUAUUCCUUUUUUUUUUUCUCUCUCCCUUUUCCUGAGAAAUUUAGUUAAAAAGUCACUAGGUAGGGUUGAGCAACAUAAGAGUCCAAACAGCAUAGACAGGGUGUCAAAGCCCAACCAGGAUAGGGAGGGGUAAGGGAGUGGCGGGGAGGAUAAUAGCCCAGCAAAGAGGGUCGAAGCUCAGGAGAGUAAAAAGGUCCUCAGGACCUGAGCAUGGUAGGAAGUCUCCUGUGAAGGGCAACUGAGUACAGGGUGUUGAAGCCAAGACGUGAUGAAGAGAGUGUUGAACACAGGAACACUGAUUAAAAAGGGUUGGGAAACUAGUUUGCAUGGCCAAACCUAGCCCACCAUCUGUUUUGUUUCCUGCUGUUCCCAGCCUGCACUAUGGACUUCAUCAGAUUUCAGCAUUAGAGAGAAUAUGGAAGGACAUCAACCUAACUUCAUCCAGUGAGGAUUUCCACACACCAUACACUCUCUGAGAGUUCUCCUGGCUUUGUGUGCACACCACCAGUGACAGGGAGCUCGCUAUGUCAUGAGGCAGCCUGCUCCCUUGUGGCUAUCACUGACCCAACUAUUAAGCCUUCUUAUACAGACAGUCCCUGACUUGCCAUUAGACUUACGACUUUUUUUUUUUUUUUUUUUUUGAGACAGAGUCUCGCUUUGUGGCCCAGGCUGGAGUGCAGUGGCCGGAUC